UCAUUUAUAAAUCUCUGGAUAUUAUAGCUUCAUGUAGCAAAAAAUAUAAUCUCUUAAGCAGGAGCAGCUGCAUAAACUAAUAAGGAGAGAGGCACGAUUAAAUUUUUUUCUAAGCAAGACAAAGGAAAGCUCCAAGUUUCCUGGCGUAGUUUUGGAAGUGCAAUAGUUGGUUUGUUUGAAGACUGAAUUAAUUUUGCAGGCACACAUUUCUAUUUUCAGGCUGUGAAGUUUGGGGGAGGUCUUGACGGUGGUGGCAGUGGUGGGAUCCAUGCAUGGCAUCUGGAAGAAGGAGAGAAAGGAAGAGAAAGAGGCAAGGAGGGAGGAGGAAAAUGAGGCCUUGAAAUAUCAUACACAGUUCCUUCGAUGGAAGGAGGAGCGAGAUGAGGAAAGGAACUGAAGCACAGAGAAAGAAGUUACACAGGAAAUUGCAGACCUGAAAUUUAUAUCCAGCUCUCACUAGCUCUGAAGGUUGCGAGAAGAUUUCACAGUGAUCUCUCCGACUGCGUGGAGGAGAAGGUCUCAGGGGAAGAGGAGAACCAGUCAUUGGUGUGGCCUAAGUCGAAGGAGGAACUGUGAUCCAGUCAACAUAACAUCAUCAAUGCAAUUGACCAGAAUAAUGUUCUGCAGCAUGAAAAAUGUGAUCAACAUCCUAUACACUAGGGCUGGAGAGUUGAUAUAUCCCUGCAAUAGGACGGUGAAGGAAAAUUGCUGGCCUUCUCAGCUGAAAGCAAAUUACUUUUGAUGAUGUCUACUAACAGUAGAGAAACAAAGAGUAUUCGCCAGACCAAUAGCAGCAUGUCAGGUGCUAAGGGAUGUGUUGAAACUAUGUUUGGAAUAUGCAAUUGAAACUAUGUUUGGCAUAACAGCAAUUGUGUCACCAUCUGAUUAAAUUUCUGAUAAUUGGAGUCACCAUCUGAUUAAAUUUCUGAUUAUUCACUGCCAUUCUGUUUACUGCACAGGUCAAAUCAGUGAGUCAAAUGGGGAUUGGUAAGAAUCAUGACCUCUGAUCUUUCAGGGGUCCUAUGGUGGCACUAAUCUCUACAGUCCCUCCAGGAAUGAGACAUUGCUUUUGGUUUGCUUAAAUUCUUAUGGGUAGAAUCUGUUUAUUGGCUUUUACUUGGAUUUUUCUAUUAUAAUAACCUGAGCAUACAAAUCAAAAUGACUGCUACUUCACUUUCACCCUCCAAAUCUCAUGUAAAACAUCUCUUGAGGCCCACCUGAACCAGAAAGGAAUUCUGGGAAGCAUGGCUCAGCCUAGCCAAGUUGAUAUUUCAAACCGUUUCAA